rnacentral:lncRNA from 1 species
CACCAUCAGGUCAUCGCAACCGCCUCUGCUUCCGCAUGCCCCAACAUAUGGCAUGACGGCAUCUGCGCAAGGGUGGCCACCGCGGGCGUGUUGAGGAUGGAGAACAUGUGGGGCAAGUUGACGGCAGCACCCCUCCGUCCAGCUGAUUCGUCAAUAGCACAGGUGACCCUCUCCUCCAAUAUACAGGCCUGAACUUGUGAGUUGUUCUGUUUGUACUGACCUUUUCUUAUCAUGUUUGUCCUCCAGUAGACAGGUAAGAUUGAAUUAUAUUAUUCUUGUUGCCAAAUGUAUGUCAAGCAGGCAAGCACAAACUGAAGUACCGAUGAGCUGACAAAUAAUUAGUUGCAUGUAAAACUUUUCUGUUCUGAAACUCAUUUUGUUGCCUUUCCAGAUUGCUUGCUUAGGAACUAAUUCCAAGGAUUACUUUGAUCGGCAUGGAGAUUUAAAGAGCAUCAGGAGACUGAAGUUAACCUUAUUUCUCUGCAAUAUAUCAGAUUGGAUAUUGGCACAUAUAUGAAUCAGGUUGGGUUGUCUGAACCUAGAAUCCCCUGCUUCUCAAACUCAAGGUAUACAUUAUUGCAUAUAGGAACAACAAUUGUCAAGUGUGGCAGUCAUAUUUUGAUAAUCUGUAUUUUUUGGAUGAUUGCAUUAUGAUGAAGUCUUCCACAUAGUAGUGAUGAAAUAUCUUCAGAUGUGAGAAUUUCAUGUUUAAAAGCUUCAAGGUUUAGGAUUUUCUCUUUAAAAUAAAUCUUGGGCCUCAAAUUCAUAAUAUUGGUAAAGACGUAAAGUUCAGGGUAUGCAGACUCAAAAUUCUUGCAUUAGAAAUUU